GGUCUGCUGGCCCAAUGGCAAGGCGUCUGACUACGAUUCGUGAUUAACAUCACAACAUCGGUAAUCAGGAGAUUGCAGGUUCGACCCCUGCGUAGACCU